rnacentral:lncRNA from 1 species
CCAAGAUAAUUUAUAAAAAAGUACAACAUAUCCCAUGAACAGCUCUGGUGUGCAAAAGCAGUAUCUAAUUUGAUAGUGCACCUCUACAAUAGGCUGAAGUGAAUUUGCAGCCAAGGUGAGAAAACAACAGAGUAAUUGAAUAGGUUCACAGAAGACAGCAAUCCAGAGUAUAUGCACCAGCCGGCAUGCAGAAUCCUGAUAGUCAUCAUGAUCCACCUUCCAAACUCCAAACCACCCAAAGAGAGAUGUAAUUAAGGACCAUUGAAGGCAAGGGUAACCCUGUGUCCCUGAAAAUUAUAAUACCAAAAGAGCUUAGAAUUAGAAUCCAACAUGAAUUCCUACAGGUAAAUGACCCUGUAGUAUAUGCCACAAGUCAACUACCAUGUUUAACCAGGUAUGAGGAGACAUAGACUUGAAGUAAGCUGAAAUAGACAUUAAUGUGGCCAGCAUAGUAGUAAAACAAAUUAAUUGUAUCCCACCAAUAAGCAAAAGCAUGAGACCAGCCUAAUCUUGACAGUGGCAACAACUCAUCCAACUUCAACAGUUUACUGGAAAAACAUUGAUUUCAGCACUUUAAACCUGCACCCCCUAUUAGUCAUGCAUAAUGUGACCAGGUUGUUGACCUUCAACAAGAGGCUUGGAACACAACUAGUGAUCCAUGGAAUAUACAAAAGGGCAUGAGAACCUGAGAACAUUUCAGUAAAAUAAGAAGUAAAGGAAACAAUAUUAUAUUGAAAGCAAACCACCCAAUUAAUAACCUUGAGCAAAAGAAAAUCCAUUUAGUUCACUGCCACAGCAAACCUCAGAUAAGGAGCAGAUCUGAUCCCUAAAGGAUACACUGAAACCUGGGUAUGCACCAAAGCCCUAAGCUGAUUGCAACCAGAAAACCAAUAACCUCUGAAUUGGUGUGACCCAAAUAAUGCAUUGUGAGGGAACACCUGAGAAAACCAAACAUUGCCAUAGCAAGAGAUCAAAGGAAAGGAAUUUAUGUUUGAGUUCCCUGAUAUUGUACUCUAGUCUUAUUCUUCUCAGAUUUAGGUCCUAGUAUCUGUAAGUUUUCUUAAUACAUAUUAUUAUUAUUAUUGUUAUUAUUAUUAUUAUAAAAUUGUAUGGAUUAAUAGCUUUAAUAUAGUUUUAUUCAGCAUUUAAUCUUAAUGUCAGCCUUAGAGUCAUACAAACUUAAUUAGCCUUAGUGUGAUGAACUCUGGCUCUGUUUAAUUUUCAGAAAGUUUGGUUCUUUUAGGUGACAACUGCAUGUUUUGAACAGACCAUAUGCAAAAAAAAUUGACCUCAACUAGAUCAGGUUUAAGUUUAACCAUAAACUUGGAUACAAUCCCAUUCAUAAGCCAUAACUUGGAUAUAAACAACACAUCCCCCUGCAUAUAAAGAAACUCAUCCAAAACAGAAUCCUAACUUUUAAAAUUUGGUUAUACACAAACGCAUAUAUCUGCCAUUAUAUCAAUUACUUUCCAAGACAUAGAUCAUAUAUAUCUAUCAACAACACUUUAUGUAAAGCAAAAUAUGUUAUAACUCAUAAGAAUAGGAUUAGUUCAUAACUCACAUAUGAAGAAACUUAUCUAGAACUCCAAAACAUAUAAACAAAACCAAGACAUUCCAAAUCUAGAUAUAGAGCUAGAGAUGUUCAUAAAAACUUGUUAAUGUCGAUCAACAUGUGAAGUCUUUAGUAUCCAAAGGACAAAUUCAGAAUACAUGUCCACAAUUACAAGUCAUCUUGCACAUGAUCCUGGCUCACAUGGACAGGAUUACAAUCCCAAAUGAAAAACAUGAGCUUGUUGAGAAUGAUAAAAUCUCUGUCACUACAGCAGAACAUGCAAUCAAGUCUAUAAUUAGCCAAAAAAUAUGAAGACUGAGAUUUAACUCUAUAUCAACUAACAAAUUAGCUUGAAUGGCAAAGUCAGAUGAGAGGAAGGCACAAACAAAUUGUUAUUGCGUAUCUAUUAGAUUGAAUGGUAAAAUUUCAUGAGAAGAAUGCAAAAAAGAUGACAACAAUUGACAAAUAAGGUUUCAUAACAUUAUUGGUGCUCACGAGUUGAUGUGCCAUGAAACUUUUAGAAGGGAACCAAUAUUGCAAUCAUGCCACAUAAGUCAGCAGGUUGGAUUAUCAGUUGAACUGUUUUGUCACUAGUUUUAGGUAUCUAACUAUGGACUAAGCAUUCCACAAAUCAUGGCACACAAGGUACCAAGCAUGUUGACCGAGGAGAAUUUGUUAUUCAUCAUGUCUCACCUAACCAGGAACCAACCACUUGUCAUGUAUAAAAACUAGCAUGUACCCUACACUCUGCUUGAGCACAAAAGUUAUAAAUAGGCUAUUUAGAUGCAUCAUUGUACAUAUUCAGAUACCAUCGAUACAAAGAAAUAAAACUAUUGUUUAUAUAGUUUGCUUCGUUUAGAGAAUGGUGUAUAAUUUAAGCAAGGGACAUAAAAGGAUUACAAUAUUUAAAAAAAAAAAGAACAGAAUUUUGAAGGAAAUGUUCAAGAUAUGCAUGGAAUAUCAACUUGGUAAAGCUUCUUGAAACAAUUACACAUCUUAUUGUUUUGGCAAAUUACCAUGGUUAAAUUUGAUAUUAUUCUUUAAAAGUAACACCCUACGAUUGCGAGUAAUGUACAAGAAACCGGGUUCUUACACUUUUUUUUUCCUGAAGAUCGAGG